CAUCAGGAUCCAGGAGAGCAGCUUAGGGGUUCUCCGGGGCGGCGCCAUGGUUGCUCCCGCGACGAGGACGCGGCACUCCCCUUCUGGUGCGGCGCACGAGGGAAGGAGGAGGGGAUCGACCCAAGACUGGGGCUGAGGCCGGCAGCGCCGUCCACACGAGCCUCACCGGCGGUGCCCUCUACACCUUCUCGCUCACCCCCGUCACUUUCUCGCUCACCACCGGCGUAGUAGUCAUCCUCGACGCCGUAAGGCACAAAUGGGCAUCCCGGCGGGAGUAGUCAUCCUUGACGCCGUCAGCUCUGUACAAGACACCAAUUGUAUCUUCGACGGCCACAAGUUCUCCUACUAUGCCUCCGUCGCCUCCGCCAGCAUUGUUUGGCUGGCAAGGUCACGUCACCAGGGACUCCAUAUUCAUCGCCAAAGAACUCCGACUUCAGGAACAGAGUAGCAUAGCGGGGCUAGCAGUGACAAGUAGCAACAGCAGGGACGAGCUCAGGAGGAAAAUCAGACCUCCUUUUGUUGAAUACAGAGCAAGCUAGAGAACAUACAAAAAUACAAAGCAAAGCUUCACCGAAGUGCACGAAUUGUUUAAUAAGUACGGUUGCUGCAAUGAAUUAACGACCUAGGAGCUGUUUGGUUACAACGAGGUAAUUCAUUAUUCAGGUUUGUUCACAAUUAUUUAAUUUUCACUGUUUUGGAUCCUGUACUAUGCACAAUAUAAUUUGUAGAAUGUUUUAUCUUUGCAAAUAAGGGAAAUAAUGAUCCAAAAUUGGAGAAGAUGGUGAAAACCAAAUGUUUAUGUGAUUUGAUAUGAUGUACUUAGUAAUUAACUUUCCCUACCUACAUCUUUUAAAAGUGUCUAUAUCAUGUUUUCGUCAGCUCCGGCAUCUUCAAGAGCUUUGUCAUGCCCUAUUAUUUUCAAUUUAGUCUGUGUCCGCAUCAACUGAAUUCGGUCGGUUCAAUUCAAUUCAUCAAUUUUUUGUAUAUUUGAUGCAUUAUUAACCAUAGCAACGCACGGGCAUUUAUUUG